AGUGAACGCUGGCGGCGUGCUUAACACAUGCAAGUCGAACGAGAACGGAUUAUAGCUUGCUAUAAUUGUCAGCUAAGUGGCGCACGGGUGAGUAAUAUAUAGGUAACGUGCCCUAGAGAGGGGGAUAACAUUUGGAAACGAAUGCUAACACCCCAUAUGCCUUUAUCGCAUAAGUGAGCAAGGGAAAUAUUUAUAGCUCUAGGAUCGGCCUGUACGGUAUCAGCUAGUUGGUGAGGUAAUGGCUCACCAAGGCGAUGACACCUAACUGGUUUGAGAGGAUGAUCAGUCACACUGGAACUGAGACACGGUCCAG
rnacentral:rRNA from 1 species